ACAUUAUCAUAAUGGCCAUAGCAGAACAUUCACACUGUGGCCCCUGUCGGAUUCAAAUGAAUCUGCUAAAUUUUGCU
rnacentral:ribozyme from 1 species